rnacentral:lncRNA from 1 species
AAGAAGGGGAAAGCACAAGAAAAGAAAAUCAUCUCGAGAAAGUCUUGGAUCUCCUGCUGUUAAAAAGCUGCUGUUUGUUUCCGACUUCCCCAUCUUUUGCUACACAAGGAAAAGAAAUCGAAUGAUGUGUCCACCUUUGAUGAGAAGUAAACACUAACGACAACAGGGAAGCUGCAUUUGUUUUGUUUUCUUUUCCCCUGAAAAAAAAUUUUUUUAAGAAAAAAAAAAUCCACCAAUUUAGCGAGUUGAAAAUCGUGGAGAUGUAAAAGAUGUUCACGUGUCCACGUCUAUUCGCUGACUUUCACCACUUGAAUUUUGUAGGCUUUUGUGUCAAAUAGAAAUUAUGGAAAAGAGAAUUAGACACUUGCCAAGGAACAAUAUUAUACACUUUCAAGUAAACUCCACCUAAUCCUGUAUUUGAGUGCUGAGGGGUGUGUGUGCUGUUUUCCCCUAAUAAACCUCAAAGCCCUCAUUAGACAGAGAGAACGAGGGGUGGAGAACUCUAUUACUGGGCAUUCUGACAAAAAAAUGGAAGCAGCGCCUCUCUGCCCCUAGAGCCCCAGGAAAGUGCACCCCGAUAAUAUGGAAAAGCCGUGUGUUUUCCUUGAGAGCCCCGAGUUGGGCAGACCUGUCAGAGAAAUACGCAGAAAUUAACAUUUUGAAAAGCAAAAUGUUGAAACAAAGGGCAGUGGCUAACAACGACGAAAACCACCACCACUCAAACAUGCUAAAAAUUAUUUCCCAAACCCUGCGAAUUUCCAGAUGCCACAGAAAAUCAAUGCAAAAGCGCCCCCUCCUAACUGAGCGGACAGCUCUCCUGCCGGGUGAUGUUUCCAGCUAAAGUGGAGUUGGAGAUCCCACCACGACAGGAGCACUGGGAGAUGUUACCCUGAGGCUACCGGGAGGGGAGGGGGUGUCCCCCUACCCUCUGUCCUAGCUGCCCACCUGUGCCCUCCUCCCCUUAGCUGGGGCGCGGGAGAGGCGAGGAGCUGGGCCGAGUCCGCGCCCCGAGUCUGCCAGGGGUGCCGCGAGCCGAGACUCCUACCAAGCCGAGGAGGAGACCCGAAGAGGCCCCCAGAGGCGGAAGAUUCGGUCAGAGGGACCGUUCCCGGUCUGAGCUUCCCGCAAGUGCCCGCUCAAUCUCGGGGCCAGGCUCCCUUGCCCGGUUGGACAAAAGGCUCGUAGGCCACGUUGGUCCCGGAACGAAUGUGAAAUGCAAAGGAGGGGGGGGGGGCAGUCUCCCCUCUCCCCGCGCGGGUGUGUGUGCACGCGCGUGCGUGUGUGAAACACGUGCACUUGGAGCUGGCCUCUGGCCGCAGACGUCAGCUGGGGAAGUUCACCGUCGUGGCUUCCCGGGACCUGAGCCCACGCCUUCCCUGGUCUCCCACCCUCCGCCUCAGCCACCCCCACCAGCGCCGCCGAUCGGGGCCACGCCUGCACAGGUGUGGUGCCUUUAACUGGAAGGCGCCUGCGAAAAGAUCCAGUGGAGGAAAGGCUGCGGGGGAGGGGGGCAAGGAGCCGGGAAGAAAGAGGGUCCUUCUAGAGCUCAGAGGUCCCUAUCUUCGAGUGAUGGCCAUCACACUCCAUCUUUGCGCCCCGACCGACUGUAUCCAAAAAAGAUUGGUUCGCGGGAAAAGCAGGCUCACCAUAACCUCGGGGUUGGACUCGGGCUCUUGAGACCUAAGCAGGCUUUGCUUGGAUUCAAAAGUAUGAUUUUAAUUUUCUUAAUGAAGGCGCGCUCUAGAGCUCAGCUGGUAAUGACUGUGCUGAGUUUAAUAGACUUCUGUCGAACAGAAAAAGACGGAUAACUAUCGGUUAUAAGUAAUCUGCUCUAAUGCAAUUAUUUUCCCAGGUUCGAAUGUCAUUGUGCAGAGAGGGCAGGAGUGAAUUAGGGCCCCGGGGACCGAGGACACCAGGCAAGGAGACCGCCUGAAAUACGAGCUGAACCUGUCUU